rnacentral:sRNA from 1 species
GUCAAAGUCCUGUUGAGAAAUCCACAGGUGAAGCACUCGUAGUCGAGUUUGAAAAAAUGAGUAAAAGUAAAUACAAUGGAGUGAACCCUGAGGAUGUUCUGUCUGAGUACGGGGUUGACUCGACACGACUGUGUAUUCUUUCCAACGUUUCACCUCAGUCAGAAAGAAAUUGGUCUGAAAUAGUCUACAAAGGUGUUAUCAACUGGCAAAACAAAAUUUGGACCUUAGUAACCAAUAUCCGAAAGUAUCAUGAGACAAACUCGAGUAGCGGCAAGAAGGAAACAUGACUGAGAAAGAUUUAACAGAUUGGGAAAAACAAAUCGAUGAAACACGCAAUCAUAUCAUUAAUAAAGUAACCCAUGAGUUUGACCAUACAUUUCAUAUAAAUGCAGCCAUCUCAAGACUUCAUACUUAUGUCUCCUGGUUGGGGAAAGUUCCUGCAGGAGCUCAAGGAACAAAGGCUUACGAAAGAGCUUUGGGUGACCUCAUCGUAAUGAUUGGGGUGAUGGCCCCUCACUUUGCUUCAGAACUAUGGACAGGCCUUGCAGAUGUUGCCACCUUUCAAACACAU